CAGGCCUCCAAUUUCCUCCUUUAAAGCGCCGCCUGCCUCGCCCAACAACUUCCUGACUCAAGUCUGCCAGCUCACUUCCUCUACUUAUCUACUCCAGCCUUGGGAUGGCUUCUCUGAUGAGUCCUGCCGCACCCAUUGUCAAGUUCAUGACUACGCCAAAGGUCAUGCUGGCAGAACAACACAGGCGGCUGAGCAUCGAGGAUACAAGUGGCUGAGGAGUGAGCAGAGAAGCAACUGAGCAUCAGAGACUAUGGAUAGGUGUGGCUGACUUCAGACAGUGUGGCUUCAGAGAGGGGCCCGGCCGGAGAUGGCUGAACUUCAGGGAAAGAUCACCUUCCCAUCCCCUUUCCAGCCUUCCUUUCCACUGAGAGCCACCCACUACUCAAUAAAGUCUUCCGCACUCAUCACCUUUCAAACAGUCCAUGUGACCUGAUUCUUCUUGGACGCUGGACAAGAACCUGGGUGCUGAGAGGGCAGAGGCUGCCACCCUGACCCCUGAGCUGGUUGGCACUUGGCUGAUCCUGAUGGCAGAGCUGAAAGAGCGCUGGUUGUAACACGCUUGGACGCUGCUGUGGGGCCCACACAGAGCCUGCUCCCACCAGAGAGGAGUGACCAGCCAGUUCCAGUUCCAGUGUUCGUUCGCUCAGGUUCCUGCAUUCGCUCACUCACACUCUCCCUCCUGCGAGGAGUGGCCAGUGGUGGGCUGAGUGAAACGAGACACUCCAGUUCCUGCCCGCAAAGGGGGUCAAGUGAACUAUCCCCUCUCAGCAUUUUACCAAAACUGUUUAUGAGACCCUGUGGUGGUAGUAGUUUAGAGCAGCAGUGGUUGUGGGGGACAUUUUACACCUGUGUUUUAGUUUUCUUACCUGUAAAAUGGAGCUAAUGGUAGCAUCUGUCUCAUAGCACUGUGAGUGUGUGGGAUGAAUUGAAUGGGAUGAUUUUUGCAAAGCAUUUUCGGGCAGUGCCUGCACGUGAAAUGUGUCUUCAAGGCACCGGCCAGCCACAACCUGGGUGAGAUGGAGCUUCAGGGCCAUCUGCUGCCCAGAACUCAGGACACUGCUUUUCUACAUCUGUCCCUAGAAAGGGACAAAAUAGACAGGUUGGUAAAGGGGCCUUUGGGUCAACUCAUUCCUCACCAAGAUCUAUCUUUUUCUUUCCAUUCUUCUUCCUUCUCUGAGUUUAAUUUUUUUAAAGCCAAACUUC
rnacentral:lncRNA from 1 species